UCGCCUCGCAAGGGCGGCCUGUACGCAAGCCUCCCGUGGUCGUGUUCCGCGAGCAGGAGAUACUCGUUUGAGAGCAGUGCCAACGGCAGCCCCCUUGGUCUGGGUGCAGGUAUGUGGACCGCCUGGUGGAGACGCUGCAGCAGAAGCUGUACCAGGCAGACAAGAUGCUGCAGUCUCAGGAGGCCGUGGUGGCACGGCGUCAGGAGGCCCUGGACGAGCAGCGCCAGCUCCAGCCAAAGCUGGAUCUCGUGCUGCUCAAGACGAGGCAGCUUCAGAAGCAGAUACAAGAGGAGAUCUCGAAGCGCUACAAGGACCGGCCGGUCAACAUCAUGGGAGGCAUCAACGUCAUGUGACGGCCGUGAACUGCCUAGCACCCCUGUUAGCACCCUUCCCGUGCCCGUUCCUGGCGGCAGCCCCACGUCCCUUGCCCGCCCGCAGAGCUUCCGAAGCCUGGCAGCGCUCGCGUCUCAUCCUCAACCAUUGGGGCAAGGUUAUGCCUCGUGCCAUGUGCGGUCGUUUGGCAAGGGCGAGGUGCCUAGAAGCCGCCGAUCCAUCGUCGUGCAGAAAAUUGGCCAAGAGUGUGCGACAGACUGGAGAGAUUGUGUUCCCGAGAUUGGGGGGAGUGUCGGUGCGCAGCAUUGCGAGAAUCGUGGAAGUGGCAAUGUUUUUAUUUUUUUUUUUUUUUUACAAGAACAACUUUCUUACUUUUUCUGCUAAAAAACGCCUAUGUUCCGUAGUUGUUGCAUGCGGUUCAACUGUACGGCUUUCACCUCGCUUGAAAUGAAGCAUACGAGUGUCAGUUUGUCGCGCGAGUGCUACUCCAGUGGCAACAGGGCUACAUUAGCCUUACCAAAACCGAAAGACCAUUUAUUGCGCAGCAACCAGCCAUGAUGCCACUUGGCUAAUACUCGGGGGGGGGGGGGGGCAGAAUGUUGCGCUUGCUCGCUGCAUUUGAGCUUGGUGAUGACCGUACAGAUUUUGAAAGAUUGGUGUGGGAGCCCUUCACGGGACUUUGCUUGCAGUCACUUUAAAAGACAAAGUCGUUACAUCCAGUACAGGUACACUGCAAGAUAUUUAGCAUAAACACGACUUCGGCGCUUUUCCUCAUUUUACUUUAAAUGGGUAUUGGCGGGCACCAAAUUUUGUCCCUGGGGUAAAUGUUCAAAAUGAGCAUUUUCCACCACACUAGUACUCUUGAUGACCGCCUGUCGAUUCUAAGAGACAAACGGAAAAUAUUGGUGACCGUUUGUUUGCACUGACAGUUUUGCACUUUGUGCAUUUAACACUGUUUGACGAUGUACAUCCAUUCUUUCUCUACUCUCAUUGCCACAAUACUGUUGCACCUGCUGGUAUAUAUUAUACAUAGUGAACAGAACGGCGCACAAAAAAAACGAGGACAGAGAAAAGAACAUGCACAACACCCAGCGCUUGUGUGUUGUGCAUAUUCCUUUUCUCUGUCCUCGUCUUUUUGUGCGCUGUUCUGUUCACCAUGUCAUCAUAACAACUCGCCCAACUUACAACACUUCUGCAUAUUACACAUAGUUGGUGCAUCGAAAAUGCAGUUUAUUUUAAAAGGUUACAAUAUGCCACACGUGGCCAAUGAGUUUAGCUUAGAAAACCUACUUCUGGACCCGGUAGGAAUUUUUGAUUAAAUGAAAAACAGUUUAAAUUACCAUAUUUACUCGUAUAUAGAUCUUUAUACCGAGACCCCGCGGAGAAUAAUAAAAAUUGUUUGAAUA